UACGGAGGGGGCUAGCGUUGUUCGGAAUUACUGGGCGUAAAGCGCACGUAGGCGGCUUUGUAAGUUAGAGGUGAAAGCCUGGGGCUCAACUCCAGAACUGCCUUUAAGACUGCAUCGCUUGAACACGGGAGAGGUGAGUGGAAUUCCGAGUGUAGAGGUGAAAUUCGUAGAUAUUCGGAAGAACACCAGUGGCGAAGGCGGCUCACUGGCCCGGUACUGACGCUGAGGUGCGAAAGCGUGGGGAGCAAACAGG
rnacentral:rRNA from 1 species